rnacentral:rRNA from 1 species
AUUGAACGCUGGCGGCAGGCCUAACACAUGCAAGUCGAGCGGAGCGGCGGACGGGAGCAUAAUGCCCAGGAAUGUGCAUGGUAGUGGGGGAUAACGACGGGAGAGGGGCGGUAAUAACGCAUACCAUCAAGUGAACAUAGGUUGGAUUAGCUAGUUGGUGGGGUAAAGGCCUACCAAGGAGACGAUCCGUAACUGGUCUGAGAGGGAGAUCAGUCACACUGGAACUGAGACACGGUCCAGACUCCUACGGGGGGCAGCAGUGGGGAAUAUUUGACAAUGGGCGAAAGCCUGAUCCAGCCAUGCCGCGUGUGUGAAGAAGGUCUUCGGAUUGUAAAGCACUUUAAGUUGGGAGGCGUUACCAACAGAAUAAGCACCGGCUAACUUCGUGCCAGCAGCCGCGGUAAUUC